rnacentral:rRNA from 1 species
CCUACGGGCGGCAGCAGUGGGGAAUAUUGCACAAUGGGGGAAACCCUGAUGCAGCGACGCCGCGUGAGCGAUGAAGUAUUUCGGUAUGUAAAGCUCUAUCAGCAGGGCAGAAAAUGACGGUACCUGACUAAGAAGCCCCGGCUAACUACGUGCCAGCAGCCGCGGUAAUACGUAGGGGGCCAGCGUUAUCCGGAUUUACUGGGUGUAAAGGGAGCGUAGACGGUCCUGCAAGCCAGCUGUGAAAGCCCGGGGCGCAACCCCGGGACUGCAGUUGGAACUGCAUGGCUGGAGUGCGGGAGAGGCAGGCGGAAUUCCUGGUGUAGCGGUGAAAUGCGUAGAUAUCAGGAGGAACACCGGCGGCGAAGGCGGCCUGCUGGACCGCGACUGACGUUGAGGCUCGAAAGCGUGGGGAGCGAACAGGAUUAGAUACCCGGGUAGUC